AGAGUUUGAUCCUGGCUCAGAGCGAACGCUGGCGGCGUGCUUAACACAUGCAAGUCGAGUGCGCGCCUGUAGCAAUACAGGUGGCGCACGGCGCACGGGUGCGUAACACGUGGGUAAUCUGCCCUUCGAUGGGGAAUAACUCGCCGAAAGGCGAGCUAAUUCCGCAUAACAUUCCGAGAACUUUGGUUUUUGGACUCAAAGGCGUAAGUCGUCGGAGGAGGAGCCCGCGCACGAUUAGCUAGUUGGUGAGGUAAUGGCUCACCAAGGCUAUGAUCGUUAGCUGGUCUGAGAGGAUGGCCAGCCACACUGGAACUGAGACACGGUCCAGACUCCUACGGGAGGCAGCAGUGGGGAAUCUUGCACAAUGGGCGAAAGCCUGAUGCAGCGACGCCGCGUGGGGGAGGAAGCUUUUCGGAGUG
rnacentral:rRNA from 1 species